UUGGAGGGCAAGUCUGGUGCCAGCAGCCGCGGUAAUUCCAGCUCCAAUAGCGUAUAUUAAAGUUGUUGCAGUUAAAAAGCUCGUAGUUGAACUUCGGGGUCUACCCAUUGGUCAGGCUUAAUUGUCUGCACUGGUGAGAUGGAUCUCUACCUUCUGAGGAACUUUCAUGCCAUUUAUUUGGUGUGGUUGGAAAUCAGGACUGUUACUUUGAAAAAAUUAGAGUGUUUAAAGCAGACUAUCGUCUGAAUACAUUAGCAUGGAAUAAUGAAAUAGGACGGACUGAUUCUAUUUCGUUGGUUUCUAGGAUCACCGUAAUGAUUAAUAGGGAUAGUUGGGGGCAUUAGUAUUCAAUUGUCAGAGGUGAAAUUCUUGGAUUUAUUGAAGACUAACUACUGCGAAAGCAUUUGCCAAGGAUGUUUUCAUUAAUCAAGCACGAAAGUUAGGGGAUCGAAGACGAUCAGAUACCGUCGUAGUCUUAACCAUAAACUAUGCCGACUAGGGAUCGGACGAAGUUAAUUUUAUAAUGACGCGUUCGGCGCCUUACGGGAAAC
rnacentral:rRNA from 1 species